rnacentral:misc_RNA from 1 species
UCCGGCUUGACGCCGGCAGUCCCCCGAGAUGUCAAGCCCAGGUAAGGUUCUUCGCGUUGCGUCGAAUUAAACCACAUGCUCCACCGCUUGUGCGGGCCCCCGUCAAUUCCUUUGAGUUUCAGCCUUGCGGCCGUACUCCCCAGGCGGGGCACUUAAUGCGUUAGCGCCGGCACCCAGGGGGUCGCUCCCCCAGGCACCUAGUGCCCAUCGUUUACGGCGUGGACUAC